GACGAACGCUGGCGGCGUGCUUAACACAUGCAAGUCGAACGGAAAGGCCCUGCUUUUGUGGGGUGCUCGAGUGGCGAACGGGUGAGUAACACGUGAGUAACCUGCCCUUGACUUUGGGAUAACUUCAGGAAACUGGGGCUAAUACCGGAUAGGAGCUCCUGCUGCAUGGUGGGGGUUGGAAAGUUUCGGCGGUUGGGGAUGGACUCGCGGCUUAUCAGCUUGUUGGUGGGGUAGUGGCUUACCAAGGCUUUGACGGGUAGCCGGCCUGAGAGGGUGACCGGCCACAUUGGGACUGAGAUACGGCACAGACUCCUAAGGGAGGCAGAAGUGGGGAAGAUUGAACAAUGGGGGGAAGCCUGAUGCAGAAAGGCCGCGUGCGGGAUGACGGCCUUCGGGUUGUAAACCGCUUUCGCAUGUGACGAAGCGUGAGUGACGGUAAUGGGUAAAGAAGCACCGGCUAACUACGUG
rnacentral:rRNA from 1 species